rnacentral:rRNA from 1 species
UAACGUUGACCCGUGAUCCGGGUUGCGGACAGUGUCUGGUGGGUAGUUUGACUGGGGCGGUCUCCUCCUAAAGAGUAACGGAGGAGCACGAAGGUUGGCUAAUCCUGGUCGGACAUCAGGAGGUUAGUGCAAUGGCAUAAGCCAGCUUGACUGCGAGCGUGACGGCGCGAGCAGGUGCGAAAGCAGGUCAUAGUGAUCCGGUGGUUCUGAAUGGAAGGGCCAUCGCUCAACGGAUAAAAGGUACUCCGGGGAUAACAGGCUGAUACCGCCCAAGAGUUCAUAUCGACGGCGGUGUUUGGCACCUCGAUGUCGGCUCAUCACAUCCUGGGGCUGAAGUAGGUCCCAAGGGUAUGGCUGUUCGCCAUUUAAAGUGGUACGCGAGCUGGGUUUAGAACGUCGUGAGACAGUUCGGUCCCUA